CCCGAAGGGCAGCGAGCCCGGGAGCAGGCCCGCGCCGUAGAGGCAGGAGCGCACCGACUCCAGCGUGUCGUAGAUGCUGGGGUCCUUCACCACCAGGCCUGCGCAGAGACGGAAGAGGCGUUCCUGCCAUGAGAUGCCAUCCAUCAUGUCAGAACGCAGCAUGAGGCCCUCACCUGAUGCGGCCACCCAGUCUUGAACUUCCCAGCCUCCAGAACCAUGAGCUAAAUAAACCUCUUUUUCUUUAAUAAUUA